UAAAUUUCAUUAUCUCUCUGUCCGUCUCUCUCUCUUUCUGCGAAUUCGAAAUUUGAAAAUUUAUCUUGGCUUCCGCAAUCUCCCGCUCAAGACCAAAUCUUUAGAGCACAGAUCUAACCUUCUCUUCACCUAGAUACCUCUGCACAGCACUUUCUCUCUCGCACACAAUCCAGAUUAUUAGAUCUCAACAAAAAUCAUCCCCAAAUUUUCAAUUAAAUCAUUUCUAGGGUUUUCAUUCUCUGAAAAUCCUAAAUUUGAAGUGAUUCAAGGAGCCAAGAUCAAAGAUCUGAGUAUUGCAUUUCACGAGCUGAAUCGGAGACGAGUCUACCUAAAUAGUGUGUGUUUUAUUUAUGGGGCGAACAAGUUUUAACAGUGAGCUUAGCUAAACUAAAGAUAUGAACAAGACUAGCACUCAUGAUUUUAAGUGCGAGAGAAAAGCAUCAUCCAAGGAUAGAGAAGCAAACUCACAAGCCUACUACUUCAGUCUCUGAUGACAAAGCUCCUUACAUUGCUAAAGCUGGAGAGAGUAUCAUUAAGUCAUGCAAGCCAACCAUAAGAAACAUGCAGCGCAUGGUGUUUGGUGACUUCUGAAAGCCAUGAUCCUAGCCAGUGCGAUUUGGUGCCGUCUGAGAGCCAUCGUCCUAGCCCCUGCGAUUUGGUGAUGUCUGAAAGCCAUGGUCCUAGUCAGUGGGGUUUGGUGACGUCUGAAUGCCAUGGUCCUAGCCUGUGGUAUUUGGUGUUGUCUGAACCCCAUGGUCCUAGUGCGUGGUAUUUGGUGUCGUCUGUACCCCAUGGUCCUAGCCCGUGGCAUUUGGUGUCGUCUGAACCUCAUUGUCUUAACCCGUGGCAUUUGGUGUCGUCUGAACCCCAUGGUCCUAGCCCGUGGCAUUUGGUGUCGUCUGAACCUCAUUGUCUUAACCCGUGGCAUUUGGUGUCGUCUGAAUUCUAUGGAGCGUGAGGUUGUUUCCAUUGGUUCUACUAGGUGCUAGUCAACUUCAUCGACAAAUGCUUGAGAACAUUCACAUAACAUCAUGGUCAAGAGAACUUGACAUAGUUCCGAAGACAGCGCAUGGUAGUUGGUGUCUUCUGAAAGCCAUGGUUCUAUCCCGUGGGAUUUGGUGACGUCUGAAAGUCAUAGUCCUGGCCAUAGCAUUUGGUGUCGUCUGAACCCCAUGGUCCUAGCCCCUGGCGUUUGGUGCCGUCUGAAUACUAUGGAGCAUCAAGUUGGUUCCGCUGGGUUUUUCUAGUGCUAGGCAACUUCAUCCAAGAAUGCAUGAGAUCGUUCAGAUAACAUCACUAUCAAGAGAGCUCGACACGGUUUUUAUAGUACUAGUAGAUCAUGACUCUAGAUUCUUGUGUUUCAAUAUUUAUUGAACUUGCUCUUUGUUCAUCGUUUUUGAGACAUUUUUUUUGUCUUUGGAAUUUUUUUACAGACAGUGCAUGGUAUUUGGUGUCUUCUGAAAGCCACGGUCCUAUCCUGUGGGAUUUGGUGACGUCUGAAAGUCAUAGUCCUGGCCAUGGCAUUUGGUGUCGUCUGAACCCCGUGGUCCUAGCCCCUGGCUUUUGGUGCCGUCUGAAUACUAUGGAGCGUCGAGUUGGUUCUGCUGGGUUUUUCUAGUGCUAGUUAACUUCAUCCAAGAAUGCAUGAGAUUGUUCAGAUAACAUCACAAUCAAGAGUACUCAACACGGUUUUUGAAGCUUCACCAGAUCCAAUGGAGUGGUAAAGGAGAAGCAGCGUCCACUGAUGCCAGGGCACUUUCAGGCCAUGACUCUUAAAAAUUUCAGACGGGUUUUAUGAAUUAUGAGCAAACACUGAUUAGAAAUCGACACAGAUGAACUGCAGAAUGAUACUUGACAGAUUGGUUGCUGGGAAUUCCGUUGCUUGGUCAAGUGAGGAACAGUACACCAGUACGAAGAUUAUGUAUCAAAUAAAAAGGUUCACAACACAAAAAUAGAAGGCUUUUGGUUUGGUCCUGAAUCAAAGGAGGAGAAAGAUCAUGUCAAUAGAGAAGAAUUAUAUUGAAGAAGAAAUGGUUGGAAAGAUUGCUAAAAAUACUUCCCUUUUAUAGCUCUAUUCAUUUGAUUACAGAAUUAUAUUCAAGGUCCUCAAACUCUAAGUUUUCAAUGUCUGCUGCCGAGGUUAAUUGGCUCAAUGAUUACCCCUCACAAUUCUGGAAGGAGGGCCAGGCCAGGAGGAAAACAUUGGAACUUCAGCUAAGCCUUCUUUAGAGGCUCAAGUAUUAAUUGGAAGGUCAUCUAAUGUGCCUUUUUGUCCAUUCUUGCUGGACUUUGUGCUCAAUUUAGAAUUAGUUCAGUGGGAAGAGUCAAUUUUGCUGGACUUUACUACUUACUGAACUCCAGAAGUCUUAAAUGGAUCUCCAACCUCAAUGUAAUGGAAUCAACAGUAAUAGUGAAACACUAACCCCGUGGAUGUAAGCCUUAUGCCGAACCACGUAAAAAUCUGCGUCUGACUCUCUAUUAACCACCUGA